UGGAAUUGUUUUUCCAUUAACUUAGAAGGUCAAAAUGGAUUUUUACUGUAUAUUUCUCCCAGCAGAAAAAAAAAUGGAAGUACAGUUGGGCAUAAAGAUGUCAAAAAUUUCUUGUGAGUCUUUAUUGCCCCCAAAUCCAAAUUUCUUAUUGCUUUAAAAUCUAAAUUCCUUUUAAUUUUUAGAAUGGUAGAUUCAUGUGGAACUUAAGAAAAGAUUAUGUAUCUAAGAGAGCUGGUGAGCCUGUGCUGGAAACCUGAAUCUGAGGGCAGUGGGGAAAGAAGGCCUUUCUUGGAGGCCUCAACUCAGAUGCCACAGUCUCCUGGAAAUGCCCAAGAAUAGGAAAUACGUGGCCAUGUGGGGGACAGCAGCCCGCCAGACAAAAGCAAAGCCGGACAAGAAAGGGUGUGGCUGUGCUGGUGAAACAUUUCUGGGUAAGUAACAAAGACAACUACAACAUAUUAUUAAGCUUUGAUAAUAAUGGUGGGUGGGGGAAAUUUAAAUAAUAAGAUAGCUAAUAGUUAUUACUUAUUUUGCACCAGAUAUUAUCUUAGAAGUACAUUCUGUAAUGUCAUGAAGGCAUUUCUAAACAUACUCAGAAGUAAUCUAAACUUGGGAAUCUAGAAUGGCUAUCUAGUGUCUUUAAAAUCUGUAAAGGGCCGGGAUUUAGCUCAGUGGUUCCGGUGCCUGCCGUGCAAGCUCAAGGUCGGGGGUCUGAUCCCUGGUACCAAAAAAAAAAAAAAAAAAAAAUUCUGUAAAAUGGCCCAAUUUAUAGAUUAAAGUAACAUAUGCCAAAUAAUUACUUGUUGAAUUGUGUGGAAUAAAUAUUUUGCCCAAAGCUGAGAAGCAGGAUAUAUUUUUUCUUUAUUUUGGCUUGAAUACAAUUUAUUCUUCUAAAUUUUGGCUCAGUGGCCCCCUUUGCCUAUAAAUAGUAUAUACCUACUUUGAGUUCAAUUAGUAUGAUGAUAUAGUUAAUAUUUUAUAGAAUAGUAAGUUGAAUCAGGAAAAAGCUUAACUUAUAUACUGUCAGAAUAUUACCAAAAUUUAAAAAUCUCAUUUGAAAUAGUAUUAAUCUAUUUUGAAAAGUUUACAUUUAUUUGCUUUUUUGUUUUAUUGAGGUAAAAUUUACAAAGAGUACAUCAUGUUUUGGACAGUUCUAUGGAUUUUGAGAAAUUUAUGCAUUGUGUAACUACCACAAGAAUUUAGAGAAUAUUGCCAACAUCCUAAAACAUCCUCUCUGGACCCUGUAGUUAAUUUCCUCCUCUCCAGCUCAACUCCUGGCAAUUAUUGCUUUGAUUUCUGUCCCUGUACUUUUUGUCUUUUUAAAGAAUAUUGUAUAAAUUGCAUCAUAUAGUGUAUAAUAUUUGAGUCUGAAGGUAGGGUCUUCUUACAAUUCUCUGUAGAUUUAUCCAUGUCAUGGUAUGUAUUAAUAAUUACUUCCCUUUUUGUUCAUCUCUAGCUUUUGGCAUUCAUGAAUAGCACUAUAAAUAUUUGCAGAGAAGUUUCUGUGAGAUUAUUUGUCAUCUCAUGUAGGUAAAUGACUAAAAGAAUUCCUGGGUUAUACAAUAACUGUAUUUAAUUUUAUAAGAAACUGACCAAUUGUUUAACAAAAUAGCAUUUUGCAUUCCCAUUGGCUGGCUAUAUAUAUGAGAGUUCUAGUUGCUCCAUAUCUUUCUUCAACAUUUUAUAAUAUCAGUUUUUUUGUAUGGACUAUUCUAAUAGGUGCAUAGUAGUAUCUCAUUGAUACUACUAAGGACUAAUGAUGUCAGGCUUCUUUUCAUGUACUUAUAUGGCAUAUCUCUUCAUGGCAAAAUGACUGUUCAAAUCUUUUACUGGCUGGAAAAAUUUGGACAAGUCACUUAACUUGUGUGAGCUUCAAUGAUCCUAUCUGGGGAAAGGGUACUAGUGAUUGAUAACAUUUAUCAAUUAUUUACUGAGUCUAGGUUCUGUUAUUAGUAUUCCACAUAUAUUAAAUACUUUAAUCUUUACAACAUGUAUGCAGGAGGACUUAUUAUCUCUAUUGCUAUAAAUGAGACAAAUGUGGCACCAAAGAGGCCAAGUAACUUCCUAAAUGCAGACAGCUUGUGUGAGCUGGAUCUACAAUUAGAACCUAGAUAUCUGCCACCAAUGGUCCUGGGUAUCAUGACUAGGCUCUAUCUCCUCUUUAAUAGAUAAUCAUAUCUGUUUGAAUUAGACACAUAUUAAGUGCUUAGCAGAGUAGGGACAACCUUUAUCAUUGCAAUAUUUUAAAUGUGCUGGAAAAUAGAGAACUUGGACAAUAUAAUUCAAUUGAAUAAUUCAAUGAAAACAAUGUUCUGUUGUGUGUGAGAAGAGGGUGCGGGGGGGAAUGGUUAUUCCAAAAUGAUUGCAUAUAUUGCAAAGGAUUUGUUUUCAUGGUUCUC